GAUGAACGCUAGCUACAGGCUUAACACAUGCAAGUCGAGGGGCAGCACUAGGUAGCAAUACUGAGGUGGCGACCGGCGCACGGGUGCGUAACGCGUAUCCAACCUUCCCGUUACUCUUGGAUAGCCUUCCGAAAGGGAGAUUAAUACAAGAUGGUAUUCAAAUUCCGCAUGUUAUUUGAAUUAAAGAUUUAUCGGUAACGGAUGGGGAUGCGUGACAUUAGGUAGAUGGCGGGGUAACGGCCCACCAUGCCUACGAUGUCUAGGGGUUCUGAGAGGAAGGUCCCCCANACUGGAACUGAGACACGGUCCAGACUCCUACGGGAGCAGCAGUGAGGAAUAUUGGUCAAUGGUCGGAAGACUGAACCAGCCAAGUAGCGUGAAGGAUGAAGGUUCAUGGAUUGUAAACUUCUUUUAUACGGGAAUAAAACCUCCACGUGUGGGAGCUUGUAUGUACCGUAUGAAUAAGCAUCGGCUAACUCCGUG
rnacentral:rRNA from 1 species